UACGUAGGUGGCGAGCGUUGUCCGGAUUUACUGGGCGUAAAGGGAGCGUAGGCGGACUUUUAAGUGAGAUGUGAAAUACCCGGGCUCAACUUGGGUGCUGCAUUUCAAACUGGAAGUCUAGAGUGCAGGAGAGGAGAAUGGAAUUCCUAGUGUAGCGGUGAAAUGCGUAGAGAUUAGGAAGAACACCAGUGGCGAAGGCGAUUCUCUGGACUGUAACUGACGCUGAGGCUCGAAAGCGUGGGGAGCAAACAGGAUUAGAUACCCCCGUAGU
rnacentral:rRNA from 1 species